UACUUUGUUUUUGUUCUUCUUUGCCUCCGCUUCGUGCGAUUCUCAUAAGUCAGAAACAAAGAAACUCUAGAUCUUCUUCGAUCAAUCUCCUCAUCUCUUAUUCUCUGUUUCUGUAACUACUACAGUUUACAAUCUUCUACAUCUAGUCAUCUCUCAUCGAUUACGAAAAAGUUUCAGAGACCCAACCCUCUACAACAAAACUCGUAAAGGUACGUAGGAAGCUGCGUUUUGUUCUUUUUUGAUGCGGGAAGCAGCCUUAGCAAUGGGAGUUGAUAGUAUUAACUUUGAAGCUGCCCAUUUGACAACUUUUUGAUGCGGAUUAGCAUUGCUUUUGUGAAUCUACAACAAACAACUUUUGGUGAGUUGGUAUCUCAAUACUCACUACAAACGCUAACUUAUUUUUCGAUUGGUUUGUUGAUGUAAUGCAAUGGUACUAUGGUAUAGAAGGCUAGCUUAGCAGCUUUUUAAUCGGUUUGUAUGUUGUAAUGGUUUGUUCUUUUUUGUACUAGUAGCUUAAACUCACAAACACUGCUUUAAGCUACUAGUACAUACCCUUGCAGCUUAUGUUUGAUUUUGUAAUGGUUUUUGCUGUUUUUUUGUGGU